rnacentral:rRNA from 1 species
UACAGAGGUCCCGAGCGUUGUUCGGAUUUAUUGGGCGUAAAGGGUGCGUAGGCGGCGGAGUAAGUUGGGUGUGAAAUCCCGAGGCUCAACCUCGGAAUUGCAUUCAAUACUGCUUCGCUCGAGUACUGGAGAGGAGGCUGGAAUUUACGGUGUAGCAGUGAAAUGCGUAGAUAUCGUAAGGAAGGCCGGUGGCGAAAGCGAGCCUCUGGACAGUUACUGACGCUGACGCACGAAGGCCAGGGGAGCAAACGGG